rnacentral:rRNA from 1 species
GACGAACGCUGGCGGCGUGCUUAACACAUGCAAGUCGAACGGAAAGGCCCUGCUUUUGUGGGGUGCUCGAGUGGCGAACGGGUGAGUAACACGUGAGUAACCUGCCCUUGACUUUGGGAUAACUUCAGGAAACUGGGGCUAAUACCGGAUAGGAGCUCCUGCUGCAUGGUGGGGGUUGGAAAGUUUCGGCGGUUGGGGAUGGACUAGCGGCUUAUCAGCUUGUUGGUGGGGUAGUGGCUUACCAAGGUUUUGACGGGUAGCCGGCCUGAGAGGGUGACCGGCCACAUUGGUACUGAGAUACGGCCCAGACUCCUACGGGAGGCAGCAGUGGAGAAUAUUGCACAAUGGGCGGAAGCCUGAUGCAGCAACGCCGCGUGCGGGAUGACGUCCUUCUAGUUGUAAACCGCUUUCGCCUUUAACGAAGCGUGAGUGACGGUAAUGAGUAAAGAAGCACCGGCUAACUACGUG